UUCCAAGGCGCCUGCGCUAAACCAGCUUCUCGGCGCCAUUUUGUCUCGGCAGCGGUCGGCGUAGCUCCAUCGCCUUUUAUGUUUCUGGCAAGAAGGGAACGGAGUUUUCAUCCGGUAGAUUGGUUUUUGUGCGUCCGUCCUUCACCGUUUCCUCCAGGACAGCACCUAGUCUUGGCCGGAGGAGUCUCAGAGCUGUCAGAAAGAAUAAGGCUGAUUUUACGGGAAAAUUAAGCAAAGUGUUCCUUGAAAAACCUGAAUCUGCGAUCUGUCUGUGAGGUAAAGAAGAAAGAAAACAAAACACACUCAAGAUUUAAGAAAGAGGGAACAAGCAGUACCAUUCACUGAUUUGGCAAGUCAAGAAAAGCCGCUGGUUGGUAAAGAAGAUGAAAUCUGUUUUAAACAUGCUAGUUAGAGCUUGAAAUGUCCAGUAAGCAUUUAUUCUUCAUUUUGUCAAAAUCUUUGUGGGUUCCUUAAUUGGGACAACGCAUUAAACCGAACCUUACAUUGUUUCUGCAUGGUGGCUUUUAAUUCUGUUCUAUUAGACUUAAGUGUAACUGAUACUGUAGUUCAACUUGAAUCAAGAAAAACCAAGUUCAGGAAAACCAGAUGAUUCUCAAAUUAAGGAGAGAUUUGUUUUUCAUUAUUGAAAAAAUACAGUUUUGUGAGAACAUAAAUUUUUUUGCACCAAAAUAAAUUCAUACUAACUUGUUAUAACAUGUGUGAACAGGAUCUAGUUUGAGGCACUAAGAGGUUUAGGACAUCAGUUUGCAAAGAGCCCCUAUCAGGGCAAAUCAGUUCUGCUAAAAUUGUAGCAAGGACAAACAUCAAAUUGAUGGUGAAAGUUGUGAUGUGAAAGAAUGGCAAAAUCAUUGAUACUUUACAAGUACUUUAUGGGGACAGUGCCCCCAAAGAAAUCAGUAGCAGUUUACAAAUGCAUAACUAGUUUAAGACGAAGCAAAGUUUUAGAUGAAGCCUACAGCAGCAGACCAAUCACAUCAGUUUGCAAGGGAAAAGUUAAUCUUGUUUAUGCCAGUAUCUCAGUUGGUUCAGCUUACACAAUUUUGAUGGAAAAAUUAAAUUUGAGCAAAACUUUCCACUCAGUGGAUGCCACAGCUGUACACCCAGAUCUGCUGAAGACAACAGCAAAGCUUUCAAUGGAAAUUUAAACAAGUGUGAACAAGACCCUAAAGGAUUUCUUUGAAGAAUUGUAACAAGAGAUAGAACAUGGCUUUACCAUUACACCUCUGAAGACAAAGCACAGUCACAGCAAUGGCCACCAAGAGGUGGAAGUGGUCCAGUCAGAGCAAAAGCAGGCUGGUCAAGAGCAAGGGUCAAGGCAAAACAGGUUUUUGGAAUGCUCAAAUCAUUUUGCUUGUUGACUUUCUGGAGGGCCAAAGAACAACAACAUCUGCUUAUGAGAGUAUUUUGUUGAAAAAAUUAGCCAAAGCUUUAGCAGGAAAACACCUGAGAGAGCUUCACCAAAAUGUGCUCUACCCCAACAGUGCAGCCGAGGCCCUUCGUCAAACUAGGGCAGUUUUGCAAGAAUUUUGAUGGGAAUCAUGAGACAUCUACGUUGCAGUCCUGAUUUGGCUCCCUGUGACUUCUUCCAUUCCUAAUCUUAACAGGUUUUUUUUAAGGGCACCCGUUUUUCUUCAGUUAGUGUAAAAAAGACUGCAUUGACAUAGCUAAAUUCCCAGGACCCUCAGUUCUUUAGGAAUGGACUGAAUGAUGUAUUAUUGCUUAUAAAAGUGUCUUGAUUUGAUGGAGCUUAUGUUGAGAAGUAAACUUCGUGUUUUUUAUCAUUCUAUUUUUCCACAAAUUUUUUGAAGUCCCUUCAUAUAUGUAUGUUUUAAAAGGGCUCAAAUACAUAGAGUGAAAUAUGCUUUCUCCUCUUCCUGCGUGUACUAAUUUUUAUGUAUUCUGUUUUAGUUUAUUUUUAAACUAAUAUCUGGAGGGAACAGAUAUGUUUAUGGAACAUGAAUGUUUAGCUAAGAUUCUUUAUCUGAAAUCCAAGUAAAGGUGUUAAGUGUCUUGUUUUUAGAAAUCACUUUUAUUUCAACAAAAUGUUCAGUAUAAGAAAUUACUUUUAAUAAUUACGUGAAAACAUGCAGUAGGUGGACUUUUGAGCUAACUCUGGAGAAAGAGCUGGAUUUCACCAGUUAGCCUCCUGCGGAUCUGCCACCACCAUCACCCUCCCAUCGUACCUCCACUGCCUUUUUUCCCAAGACUUUUUAAAAAUGUUUUAUUGGCCGGGCACGGCACUUUGGGAGGCUGAGGCGGGCGGAUCACGUGAGGUUGGGAGUUUGAGACCAGCCUGACCAACAUGGAGAAACCCCAUCUCUACUAA